rnacentral:rRNA from 1 species
AACGAACGCUGGCGGCAUGCCUAACACAUGCAAGUCGAACGAAGCCUUCGGGCUUAGUGGCGCACGGGCGCGUAACGCGUGGGAAUCUGCCCUUGGGUACGGAAUAACAGUUAGAAAUGACUGCUAAUACCGUAUAAUGACUUCGGUCCAAGGAUUUAUCGCCCAGGGAUGAGCCCGCGUCGGAUUAGCUAGUUGGUGAGGUAAAAGCUCACCAAGGCGACGAUCCGUAGCUGGUCUGAGAGGAUGAUCAGCCACACUGGGACUGAGACACGGCCCAGACUCCUACGGGAGGCAGCAGUGGGGAAUAUUGGACAAUGGGCGAAAGCCUGAUCCAGCAAUGCCGCGUGAGUGAUGAAGGCCUUAGGGUUGUAAAGCUCUUUUACCCGGGAUGAUAAUGACAGUACCGGGAGAAUAAGCCCCGGCUAACUCCGUGCCAGCAGCCGCCGCCGUAA